rnacentral:rRNA from 1 species
AAGGCGAAAAGAACCCCGGGAGGGGAGUGAAAUAGAUCCUGAAACCGCAUGCAUACAAAAAGUCGGAGCCGCAAGGUGACGGCGUACCUUUUGUAUAAUGGGUCAGCGACUUACAUUCAGUGGCAAGCUUAACCGAAUAGGGAAGGCGCAGGGAAACCGAGUCCGAAUAGGGCGUUCAGUCGCUGGGUGUAGACCCGAAACCAGGUGAUCUAUCCAUGGCCAGGAUGAAGGUGCGGUAACACGCACUGGAGGUCCGAACCGACUAGUGUUGCAAAACUAGCGGAUGAGCUGUGGAUAGGGGUGAAAGGCUAAACAAACCUGGAGAUAGCUGGUUCUCUCCGAAAACUAUUUAGGUAGUGCCUCAAGUAUUACCAUCGGGGGUAGAGCACUGUUAUGGCUAGGGGGUCAUGGCGACUUACCAAACCAUUGCAAACUCCGAAUACCGAUGAGUACAGCUUGGGAGACAGUGCACCGGGUGCUAACGUCCGGACACAAGAGGGAAACAACCCAGACCGCCAGCUAAGGUCCCUAAUAUUGGC